CAGAGACAGGUGCUGCAUGGCUGUCGUCAGCUCGUGUUGUGAAAUGUUGGGUUAAGUCCCGUAACGAGCGCAACCCUUGUCCUUAUUUGCCAGCGCGUAAUGGCGGGAACUCUAAGGAGACUGCCGGUGACAAACCGGAGGAAGGUGGGGACGACGUCAAGUCAUCAUGGCCCUUACGAGUAGGGCUACACACGUGCUACAAUGGUC
rnacentral:rRNA from 1 species